CUGAAGUUUUAAUUGUCUAAUCAACACCCGCACACCCUAUACUCCUACCGGCCACUCUACCCCUUACCUGCAAGAGCCUUUAAGGUAAGCUGUCAAUUUCCCCGACACCCCUCUGUUUGAGCACACCAAGACCAUUUCAUUUUGACAUUCUUGCAACUUCCAGCAGCACAACAUCCUCUUUCACGCAAACAAUAUCCAAGUGCAAGAGCAGAGAAGCCAAAAUCAAAGCACCCACCAAAAACUUCCACCAAGGUACUAAUCAGUAUAGCUCAAGAAAAUGGCGAAUAAACCGUUAAUAUGCACAACAAACUCAUCACAUGGCCUUUACAGAUUGCGUAUAUCAAAAUUUAGCAAAUGACAUUCAUGAAAUACAUAUGCUUACGAACUGUGUAUAUACUUGUAUAUAUAAUCAUUGUUGUGUAAAAAGAAAAGAGGACUAGGAGUCUUGAGCUUUGAUCUUGGCUGGUGUGUCGGGUCGGGUCUGCGGAGUCAAGGAGAUGAGUCUUGUGGCUGAGUGAACUGGGCUCGGUGUUGUGGUAUUGAGUCGAGUUGGGUGGAUGUUGUCACUGCUGAGUUGAGUCAGGGGGGGAAGGUUGACGGCGGCGGCCAUGGCUGCCCUAUGGUCGCCGGGAAUCGGAGCAAGGAGAGGCGACGAGGCAGGGGCCUUGUCGCUGGGGUCACCGGGAGGGAGAGAGAGAUCGAGGAAGGCGGCGGCGCCUCGCCAUCGCCAAGGAGGAAGGCGAAGGCGGUGAUUCUCGACGCCGCUUCGUCGUCCAUGCGUCUGUGUGUGAGCCGUUCUUUGAGUCGCCGGAGGUGAGGGAGAAGAGAGAGCAGAGGGAGUGGCGGGGGUGUUGCAGGGGUGCCGGGUUCUGUGGGUGAAGGGAAACGAGGGAGGUGAUGAUGUGAGGGCGGCGGCCGUGAUUGAUCGCGGCGCUCUUCGCCGGAGAAGAGGGCGGCGCCGCACCAACCUCUGGUGUGUGCGU